AUUGAACGCUGGCGGAAUGCUUUACACAUGCAAGUCGAACGGCAGCACGGACUUCGGUCUGGUGGCGAGUGGCGAACGGGUGAGUAAUACAUCGGAACGUGCCCGGACGUGGGGGAUAACUACUCGAAAGAGUGGCUAAUACCGCAUACGAUCCAAGGAUGAAAGCGGGGGAUCGCAAGACCUCGCGCGUUUGGAGCGGCCGAUGGCAGAUUAGGUAGUUGGUGAGGUAAAGGCUUACCAAGCCUGCGAUCUGUAGCUGGUCUGAGAGGAUGAUCAGCCACACUGGGACUGAGACACGGCCCAGACUCCUACGGGAGGCAGCAGUGGGGAAUUUUGGACAAUGGGCGAAAGCCUGAUCCAGCCAUUCCGCGUGCAGGAUGAAGGCCCUCGGGUUGUAAAGCUCUUUCGGCAGGAACGAAACGGUGAGGGGCUAAUACCCUUUACUAAUGACGGUACCUGAAGAAGAAGCACCGGCUAACUACGUGCCAGCAG
rnacentral:rRNA from 1 species